UCCUCUGUUUCUAUUGGAAACAACUUUUGUUUCAGUAGAAAUUAUUAGGAAUAAAUCAUCAGCAAAAGGGAAAUAAGAUUUGUUGCAUAUAUAACGACAACAGAAAUGAUGUCCUUGAAAUGUGUGCUGUAGUUAUUGAAUUUACUAAAUUGGUUUUGAUCACUUCAGUGUAUCUCAAAAUAGUUAUGUCCUGACAAAAUUGCAGAUUUAUUUUGGUAUGAUGUAUGCUUUUCUUUUUCUCACUGUCUAAAAUGGUGUUCACUAAUGUAUCCAUGCAAGAACUGUUGUAGUGAUCAGAAAAUAAUUUUCUAGCCCAGCUUUUGCCUUGCAAGAUCUGCGAGGAUGUUGGAAAGCUUUAGAAAUAAUUGUUUCUCCUUUGUUUGCAUUCUGUGGAUUUCUUUACACUGAAAAUUAGAUGAUUGGCAUCCACUUUUGCUUUUACAGUCAGUUUCAAGAAAAGGCACUAUAGGACCACCAGGCACAAGUGUCAAACACUUUAAAUUCAAGUACAAAUGAAAAAGCAGAGUCAAGUCUUAAGAGAAGAUCAAGUCUUCGGUUGGCCCUACAAGCUCUCAAAUUAAGCAGCAAUCAUAUCAAUGCGAAGACCCUUGACGUGAAGGAUAUCAAG